rnacentral:lncRNA from 1 species
CCCUAACCCCGGACCGGCGGCCUGGUCACUGAUGUGGGCUGAGUUCAGCUGGACGUGUCUCCAAGCUGAAGAUUGGGUCCCUGUCUUCUCCAUGUCUCAGCUUCCCUGGACCAGUGGGUCAGUCAGGGCGUGUUCUUCUCAUGGUGGUUGUUCACAGAAAAAGCGGUCUUGAUCCAGACCCCAAGAGAGGCCUCCUGAAUUACACGCAGGAAGGAAUUCAAGACAAGUUGCAGGGUACGGUGAGAGUUUAUUGAAAGCGCCUCCAUUACAGAGUAGGGCGUCCUUAGGAAGCAAGCAAAGGAAUGCCCCGUCUUUGUUUUAGCUUUUUCUUUUUUUUUUUUUUUUGAGAUGGACUCUUGCUCUAUUGCCCAGGCUGGAGUGCAAUGGCACAAUCUCGGUUCACUGCAACCUCUGCCUCCUGGGUUCAAGCAAUUCUCCUGCCUCAGCCUCCUGAGUAGCUGGGAUUACAGGCGCCCGCCACCACGCCUGGUGAAUUUUUGUAGUUUUAGUAGAGACAGGGCUUCGCAUGUUGGCCAGGCUGGUCUCAAACUCCUGACCUCAGGAUGAUCCACCCGCCUCGCCUCCCAAAGUGCUGGGCCACUGCGCCUGGCCAUUUUAAAUUUUUCAUAUAUAGGCCGGGCGCGGUGGCUCACGCCUAAUCCCAGCACUUUGGGAAGCCGAGGUGGGCAGAUCACAAGGUCAGGAGAUCGAGACCAUCCUAGCUAACACGGUGAAACCCCCAUCUUUACUAAAAAUACAAAAAAUUAGCCGGCUGUGGUGGUGGGCGCCUGUAGUCCCAGCUACUUGGGAGGCUGAGGCAGGAGAAUGGGUGAACCCGGGAGGUGGAGCUUGCAGUGAGCCGAGAUUGCGCCACUGCACUCCAGCCUGGGAGACAGAGCGAGACUCUGUCUGAAAAAAAAAAAAAUUUGAUAUAUAGGGGUUUUGUCUAUGUAAAGGCUAAACUAAGCUGUGUCUUUGUGCAUGUGGUCUGACAGCAUGACAAAAUUUAUUAUUUUAUUGAUUUAAAGAAAACUCUCCUUGACAUUUUAGUGUAUAAGUACAUUAAAGCAUAACUAUAAUUAUCUUGAAAGCAUAUAUUACGGGUAUUGGGACAUCUGGUCUUUCUGUUGUUACAGGAUUGUGUCCUUGCAGGUAUCUUUAGGCUGUUUUCUCAACUGUAAACAUCUUAUGACCAUGGGUUGUGACUGGCAAGGAGUCUCAAGAUGGAGCUCAACUUAAAAUGGUGUCACUCUGGCCCUCCUAGGCCUCGGCUUCUCUAACAAUGGCAGAAGCAAGAACACAAGUCCAACUGCACAAACACAUUGUAAACCUUUGCUUGCAUCACACCUGCCAAUAUCCUAUGGCCAAAGUAAAUGCACAUGGCUAAGCCCAGCAGAAAUGAAGCAGGGAAGUAUAUUCCUUCUGUAUGGGAGAAGGGAGUGUGAAAGGAAAAUAUCUUGGACCCCCAAAAUAUUUUCCUUUUUACGAAGGAAAACUCAAGCUGGAAACUGCUUAAGACAAACCUGCCUCUCAUUCUAUUCAAAGUUAUCCCUCUGCUCACUGAGAGAGAUGCACAUCUUAUUUGCCUCCUUUGGAAAGCCUAAUCAGAAACUCAAAAGAAUGCAACCAUUUGUGUCUCACUUAUCUGUGACCUGGAAACCCCCUCCCUGCUUCAAGUCUUCCUGCCUUUGCUUCAAAUUGUCCUGCCUUCCCAGACCUAACCAAUGUAAUUCUUCUACUGAUUGAUGUCUCGUGUCUCCCUAAAAUGUAUACAAGCAAGCUGUGCCCGACUACCUUGGGCACAUGUCGUCAGGACUUCCUGAGGCGGUGUCAUGGAUGCAUCCUCAAUCUUGGCAAAAUAAACUUUCUAAAUUAACUGAGACCUGUCUCUGAUUUUCUGGGUUCACAGAAGCAUGUCUGAUUAUUU